AUUUUAACAAACACGAAGGUCUCGCUCCAAGUAACGAUAGGAACAUGAUUUUAAGCAAGGUGGGACAGCGGAAACCGGAUUGGUUGAGGACUAACCAAUCAGGAGGGAGGGACAACGGGAGCAUUUGCAAGAUACCUUAUUUUGUUUUACGAGAUACCAGUUAAUCUUGAAAUGUGGGUGUUCCAAAUAGAGAGGCUUCAGUUGCUCACAAAAUCCCUUUGAAGAGCAACUCCAUACCAGUGAGGUGUUUAUAGCAGGUAGGUGCAGUUUACAACCAGGGAAGUUGAGAAUGGGAAUUUCAGGAUGACUCAUUCUUGCUUGAUCCCACUUUGCACUGGGAUUAGAACAUAGCACAUAGAACAUAGAA